rnacentral:rRNA from 1 species
AGAGUNUGAUCCUGGNUCAGGCUNAACUCAGACGGCAUGCCUUACACAUGCAAGUCGAACGGCAGCNCGGGAGCAAUCCUGGCGGCGAGUGGCGAACGGGUGAGUAAUACAUCGGAACGUGCCCAAUCGUGGGGGAUAACGCAGGUAAAGCUGUGCUAAUACNGCAUACGAUCUACGGAUGAAAGCAGGGGAUCGCAAGACCUUGCGNGAAUGGAGCGGCCGAUGGCAGCUUAGGUAGUUGGUGAGGUAAAGGCUCCCCAAGCCUUCGAUCUGUAGGUGGUCUGAGAGGACGACCAGCCACACUGGGACUGAGACACGGCCCAGACUCCUACGGGAGGCAGCANUGGGGAAUUUUGGACAAUGGGCGAAAGCCUGAUCCAGCCAUGCCGCGUGCAGGAUGAAGGCCUUCGGGUUGUAAAAUGUUUUUGUANGGAACGAAACGGUCUUUUNUAAUACAGAAGGCUAAUGACGGUACCGUAAGAAUAAGCACCGGCUAANUACGUGCCAGCAGCCGCGGUAAUAAGUAGGGUGCAAGCGUUAAUCGGAAUUACUGGGGGUAAAGGGUGNGCAGGCGGUUAUGUAAGACAGUUGUGAAAUCCCCGGGCUCAACCUGGGAACUGCAUCUGNGACUGCAUAGNUAGAGUACGGUAGAGGGGGAUGGAAUUNCGCGNGUAGCAGUNAAAUGCGUAGAUAUGCGGAGGAACANNGA